CGUUCUUCGGAGCGUAAUGUCUGGUGGCGUGCCUAUAGAAGAAUGAUCCGACGAGUUAUUGCAUGUAGCGAGGUUAAGCAGGUAAUUGCGGAGCCGCAGCGAAAGCGAGUCUGAAGAGGGCGAAAGUUGCAUGUAGUAGACCCGAAACCAGGUGAGCUACCCUUGGCCAGGAUGAAGCUUUGGUAACACAAAGUGGAGGUCCGAAUGCCUCAACGUUGAAAAGUUGAGUAAUGAGCUGUGGGUAGGGGUGAAAAGCCAAUCGAACCUGGAGAUAGCUGGUUCUCCCCGAAAUAGUUUUAGGACUAGCCUCGGAGAAGAAUCUGCUGGGGGUAAAGCACUGAAUAGGCUAGGGGGCACACCAGCUUACCAACCCUAAUCAAACUCUGAAUACCAGCAGAUGUUAUCCGGGAGUCAGGCACAGUGAGAUAAGUUUCUGUGUCGCGAGGGAAACAGCCCAGACCGUCAGUUAAGGUCCCAAAGUAUAUGCCGAGUGGGAAAGGAUGUGGAGGUCCCCAGACAGCCAGGAGGUUGGCUUAGAAGCAGCCAUUCCUUUAAAGAGUGCGUAAUAGCUCACUGGUCGAGGGCUUCUGCGCCGAAAAUGUAACGGGGCUAAGCAUAUCACCGAAACCACGGGUUCGUUUGUUCUUAGGAACGAAUGGGCGGUAGGGGAGCGUUCUGCCGUAGUAAGAAGCGUUACCGUAAGGAGACGUGGACGAAGCAGAAGUGAGAAUGUCGGAACGAGUAGCGAUAAGACAGGCGAGAAACCUGUUCGCCGUAAACCUGAGGUUUCCUGGGCAAGGUUAAUCCUCCCAGGGUCAGUCGGUCCUAAGCCGAGGCCGAGAGGCGUAGGUGAAGGGAAACGAGUUAAUAUUCCGUACCUGUGAAUGAUGUUCUAUCGAAGGAGUGACGCAGAAGGCUAUGUCCGCGGGGACCGAGUUCUCCGUCUGGGCUUGAUACCGGCCUGCAGGCAAAUCCGCAGGCGUGAGGUUCUGGAGUCCGGCAACCCGAAACAAGUAGGGGGAGUGAGCAGAUGCCACGCUGCCGAGAAAAGCUUCUAAGAGAGUUAUUUACAGACCGUACCGCAAACCGACACAGGUGGGUGAGGAGAAAAUCCUAAGGCGCUCGAGAGAAUCCACGUUAAGGAAUUCGGCAAAUUGACUCCGUAACUUCGGGAGAAGGAGUGCUCCAUGGUGUGACUGAAGCAUGUUAGCAAUAGUAUGUCGUCAGGUAGUGCUGUGGAGUCGCAGAGAAUAGAACCAGGCGACUGUUUAUCAAAAACAUAGGACUUUGCCAAAGCGAACAGCCGAAGUAUAAGGUCUGAUGCCUGCCCAAUGCUGGAAGGUUACGGGGAGGAGUCAGGGGCUACGUGCCCUGCAGCUCUGAACUUAAGCCCCAGUGAAUGGCGGCCGUAACUAUAACGGUCCUAAGGUAGCGAAAUCCCUUGUCAGGUAAGUUCUGACCCGCAUGAAUGGCUUAACGGUCUGGUUACUGUCUCAACGUGGAAUUCGGCGAAACUGUGCACCGGGUGAAGACGCCCGGUAUCCGCAUCAGGACAAAAAGACCCCAUGGAGCUUUACUGUAUCUUGAUAUUGAAAUUUGGCCUGUUAUGUAGAGUAUAGGUGGGAGACUAUGAAGUUAGGGCGCCAGCCUUGGCGGAGUCGGCAAUGGAAUACCACCCUUAGUAGUCUGGAUUUCUAACCUUGAGCCCUUGAACGGGUUUGGGGACAGUGUCAGGUGGGCAGUUUGACUGGGGCGGUCGCCUCCAAAAGAGUAACGGAGGCGUUCAAA
rnacentral:rRNA from 1 species